rfam:Schistosoma mansoni, Puerto Rico, WGS project CABG01000000 data, contig: 0077
CUACCACCGAGGAGUCCCAUAAUAGGAUGAAACGGCCGUCCAGUAC